GGAGGAAAUAAAAGUAUGCAUUACUUGACAAAGUAAAUGGAUGGUUGUCAUGUGUUGCUGAUGGGAAAUGCUUCGGGGUAUUCCACUUCUUUGCUCAUUCUCUUUUGCUCACUUCAGUGCUUCAGCUGUACUUUGAUGGUGGAUUGGUAGUGGUUGAGGGGAGGUGUGGCUUAGAAGGUCAACAUUCUUCUCACUCUCAAAGUGUCAUUCCAGUUGCGGCUACUGUGGAACAGAGACGUGAUUCUCUCUCCUACAUCUUCCAUCUUUUCUAUUCAAGCGGCUAGUGGGAGGGCUAUCACCGUCUGAAAUACGCCGCAGUCCAAAUUAAAACACUCAGUGACAAAGUCCUCCUCAAGGGGCUUCUCCCUAGAUGCUCGGAGAGUGGCACGGAUGAACUAUUCACGGAUGGAACGCAAUGUUUUCGACUGCCAGAUGGCCUUGGAAACAACCCCGGGCCCGGGUACAUCAGAGGAGGGCUCCGUUCUCACUUGUUUACCAGGUGCAGCAGCAUCUUCAUCAGAGGGACUGUCAGACAUCUCCAGCCUCGACACAGCCCAGUCGUUGGAGAGAGUCCUUCAGAGGAGCCUGUGUACGCUGCACAUACGCCAUACUUUUCUUCGGUGCAGCUGGAGGCGUUCUCAAUUGUCGGUAGAUGGUGACAGGUGUCUCACAAAUCACUGGCAAGUUGUCUUCUGGUAGAUUCUUUAAUUCUUCUUCACAAUCGUAAAACUUGUACUCUUGUAGCAUGGUGAGCUCUAGGUUUUGCAGUUUUUAUACUCUUUUAUACUCUCUAGUGUAGUCGCUACCCUAUUGUGUGUGUGUGUGUGUGUAUGUGUGUGUGUGUGUGUGUGUGUGUGUGUGUGGGGAAGGUGACCCCUUUUCUGCCAUGGUUAAGUCUUUUUGAAGACCCACUGGUUCAAGAUUGGCUGACAGACUGUCUGGAGAGGGUGCACCUAAGACCAAAUAUUUCUCCAUAUUUUUCUCAGACGACUACCUCUCGGACAACAG
rnacentral:lncRNA from 15 species